GACGAACCGUGCGAACGUUGUUCGGAAUCACUGGGCUUAAAGGGCGCGUAGGCGGGUGACCAAGUCAGGGGUGAAAUCUUUCGGCCCAACCGGAAAAGUGCCUCUGAUACUGGUCGUCUUGAGGGAGGUAGGGGUCGAGGGAACUGGUGGUGGAGCGGUGAAAUGCGUAGAUAUCAGGAGGAACACCGGUGGCGAAGGCGGUUCUCUGGGCCUGUACUGACGCUGAGGAACGAAAGCGUGGGGAGCGAACAGG
rnacentral:rRNA from 1 species